AUGGGGUUUAGGGACCUUCACAGCUUGAAUCUUGCUAUUUUAGCAAAGCAGUGCUGACGACUUCUUCAGAAUCUUGAAUCUUUAUGUGCGUGAGUUUUGAGUGCUAAGUAUUAUCCGGAUGGUGACAUAGUAAAAGCAGGGACGAAGAAGGGUUACACAUGGCAAAGCAUUGUUGCAGAUAUCCAGACUUUCAAACGAGGAUGUGUUUGGCAAGUAGGAACGGGCUCACAAAUUAAUAUUUGUAAAGAUCCCUGGACUCCCUCAAGUGAAACAGUAUUAUUACCCGGGGGGACAAUGCUAUAUCUAAGGGCAUCUCCAAGGAGGACCUGUAAACCGCCUGCAUCCGUUCAGAUCACGCUGUCUGGACCGCGGAAGCCAUCCGACGCGGUCCUGUAUCGGUCCGCGGGGCGGCCCAAACGUACUUUCUUCCGCAAACCAGAUACAAAUGUGGUGGAGCUUUGCGGGAGUCCGGACACCAGACACGUAGGACUGCAACACCCCGGCCCACCCAAAACCCUUCCUGAACCCCGAGGCUCCUUCCGUCCCAUUUUCUCUUCUUCCUUCUUUCUCUCUUGCCUCUAUCGCCGCUUCUCCACCCCGGCCGCCAUGACACACCCCUGCCGGAACUCUACUUCUCCGUCACCUCCAGCGUUCCAGCCGGACUCGACCCCACUUCUCCUCCAUCGCCGUUCAACCCCUGUCCUCAGAACGCCCCGCCAGGCACAAUCCGCUACUGCUAUACUCACCAUGCCCGGCAACUGUUCGAUGAAUUGCCGGAACUAA
rnacentral:rRNA from 1 species